GGUGCCGCCUGCCCAGUGACUCUUUUAACGGCCGCGGUAUCCUAACCGUGCAAAGGUAGCAUAAUCACUUGUCCCAUAAAUCGAGACCGGAAUGAAUGGCUAAAUGAAGACUAAACUGUCUCUUACGGACUAGCCAAUGAAAUUGAUUUUCCAGUACAAAAGCUGAAAUAAACUCAUAAGACGAGAAGACCCUGUGGAGCUUUAAAACCACAACCAUCGAGCAUGUUUCCUUCGGUUUUUAGUUGGGGCGACUUCGGAGCAUAAAAAACCCUCCAAAACAUGAAUAUAAUCAAGAUCAACAUUUCAAAAAUAAUAUCAUAAGAUCCAGUAACUAUCCCACGUUAUCUGAUCAAUGAACCAAGUUACCCCAGGGAUAACAGCGCCAUCCCCUUCUAGAGUCCAUAUCGACAAGGGGGCUUACGACCUCGAUGUUGGAUCAGGACAUCCCAAUGGUGCAGCCGCCAUUAAAGGUUCGUUUGUUCAACGAUUAAAGUCCUA
rnacentral:rRNA from 1 species